rnacentral:sRNA from 1 species
ACAGGCUUCAAACUCGACCUGUUUGAUUAUAAAUGAGAAUAAUGAUAAUAAUGUUUGCUCGGUGGUUUGGCAGCGACAGCUCUAAAAUGUGUCGAUGUGGAGUUGAGGGUGUUUCGGGCUGUCGCUGUGUUGCAUGCCAUCAGCCCAGCAAUAUAGGACGAUGUUUUACAGUUUUAAAUUUUAUACACAGCUCGAUAAACUGGGAGUAGGUCUUGAAGGUUUCUGUACUUAUCAUUUUUUUUUGUUUGAAAGUUUUAUUGUCUCGUCGUAUUAAUAUACUCAGAUGAUUUCAAC